GCCGGCAGCCUUAUCACCCUGUAGCCCAAGCCUGGUUGCCCACUGAAGCUAAGCAGGGCUGAGCCUGGAUUUAUAUAGCAUUGGUAGAACGGCCAAAUUGCUGAUAACUGCCCCUG
rnacentral:rRNA from 1 species